CAAUAGCGUAUAUUUAAGUUGUUGCAGUUAAAAAGCUCGUAGUUGGAUUUCGGUUAAGAGCGACCGGUCCGCCGUUUGGUGUGCACUGGUUGGUUUUCACUUCCUGUAGAGGACGUGCUCUGGGUUUAACGACCUGGACUCGGAGUCUACGUGGUUACUUUGAAAAAAUUAGAGUGUUCAAAGCGGGCUUACGCUUGAAUAUUUCAGCAUGGAAUAACACUAUAGGACUCCUGUCCUAUUUCGUUGGUCUCGGGACGGGAGUAAUGAUUAAGAGGAACAGUUGGGGGCAUUCGUAUUUCAUUGUCAGAGGUGAAAUUCUUGGAUUUAUGAAAGACGAACUUCUGCGAAAGCAUUUGCCAAGGAUGUUUNCAUUAA
rnacentral:rRNA from 1 species